rnacentral:tRNA from 1 species
GAUCCAGGUGGUGGAGCGGACCAACUCGCUGCUGGUGACGGCGGAGCCGGCGCAGCACCAGAUGGUGCAGGAGUUCGUGUCGCGGCUGGACAA